rnacentral:rRNA from 1 species
UUUGAUUUUAAUUUAAAGUCUAAUCUGCCCACUGAUAAAUAUUAAAGGGCUGCAGUAAUUUGACUGUACAAAGGUAGCAUAAUCAUUAGUCUUUUAAUUGGAGACUUGUAUGAAAGAUUUGAUGAGAUAUAAACUGUCUCUUAUUUAUUUAUAAAAUUUAAUUUUUUAGUUAAAAAGCUAAAAUAUAUUUAAAAGACGAGAAGACCCUAUAGAGUUUUAUAAUUUAUAAAUUUAAUAUUUAUAUAAAAUUUUAAUAUUAAAUAAAAUAAAUUAUUUUGUUGGGGUGAUAAAAAAAUUAAAAAAACUUUUUUUUUUGUUUACAUAAAUAAGUGUUUAAUUGAUCCUUUAUAAAGAUUAUAAGAAAAAAUUACCUUAGGGAUAACAGCGUAAUAUUUUUUUUUAGUACAAAUAAAAAAAAAAGUUUGCGACCUCGAUGUUGGAUUAAGAUAAAAUUUAAAUGCAAAAGUUUAAAAUUUUGAUCUGUUCGAUCAUUAAAAUC